rnacentral:rRNA from 1 species
GACAGAGGAUGCAAGCGUUAUCCGGAAUGAUUGGGCGUAAAGCGUCUGUAGGUGGCUUUUCAAGUCCGCCGUCAAAUCCCAGGGCUCAACCCUGGACAGGCGGUGGAAACUACCAAGCUGGAGUACGGUAGGGGCAGAGGGAAUUUCCGGUGGAGCGGUGAAAUGCAUUGAGAUCGGAAAGAACACCAACGGCGAAGGCAGCUCGCUGGGACGGAACUGACGCUAAGGCGCGAAAGCGUGGGGAGCGAACAGG